rnacentral:lncRNA from 1 species
AGUCUGUGUUAUUAGUGAUGAAAUAUAGAAUCAAAUCAUGUGAUUUCACUCAAGAGAAGCUUACUCAGGGGACAGGAGACAGCAAGUGAAAAGUGCUUGCUAAAAUGAUAUCUGCAUUCUUCAUGCUUGUUUUCUCUUUCUUCAACAAGUAAGUAGCAUGAAUCCAGACAGAAAAACCAAUGAGAGAAGAGACAGAUGGUAUUUUUAGCACUAAUAACAGGAUUUUCUAUAAAAUGCCACUUGUAGCAUGAAUCAUAAACUCGUUACAUAUAUCAACUAUAUCAAUUUUCUCAGGGAAAAGUAAAGAAAUCCUGUGUUUAAUAUAGGAGUUUUAAUCUAAAAAACGAUUACAUGCAGAUUUAUUUAUGAGAGAAGUAAAUAUUCCCCUGCAUCUUUAUAGCCCCAUCCAUAUGGUGCAAAGAAAUUUUCAGUGUUUCUAAUCUGUUCUGUGAGAGACCAAUAUGAAAGCAGAGGGGAAUUUUUCCAGAGAUAAAUACAUAUCUGUUUUAAAAGCUCUCUGCAGCUUCUGAACAUCAUCAGGUUUUAUAUGAAGUUUACUGAAACAUAUCUGGGAUCAUGCAACUUGGAAUCGAAUUCUGUGUGGAUCUCCCUCACACGUUUUCUACAGUGGAGGGGGAGAUGGAUCCUAAGCAUAUUUUCCUUCUUCUGCAUGAAAAUGAAUGCAUCCAAGACCAGCUGACAUAUUGAUCUGAAUUUACAGAGCUCUAGUCAUCCUUCAGCUUCUCCAGCAUUCUGGAUACAGGAGAAAUGGCUGAACAGAAGAGAAAUGAAAUGGCUGCACAGAAGAGAGAGCGAACUAAGGCAUUUUCCUUAUGGUUUCUUGAUAAGAAGUAUUAGCUUCUGCAAAUAACAAGGUGUAUAAAAGAGAAUUAGAAUAAUAUCCCAGAGCUUGAAAACUGAAGCUCAUUCAACAUUUUCUGGCCACUCUCAGGGACAGGAAUAAAAUGAAAGUCACUGUACA